rnacentral:rRNA from 1 species
UGGGGAAUAUUGCACAAUGGGCGAAAGCCUGAUGCAGCAACGCCGCGUGAGUGAUGAAGGCCUUCGGGUUGUAAAGCUCUGUCUUCUGGGACGAUAAUGACGGUACCAGAGGAGGAAGCCACGGCUAACUACGUGCCAGCAGCCGCGGUAAUACGUAGGUGGCAAGCGUUGUCCGGAUUUACUGGGCGUAAAGGAUGCGUAGGCGGAUACUUAAGUCAGAUGUGAGAAUCCCGGGCUUAACUUGGGAACUGCAUUUGAAACUGGGUAUCUAGAGUGCGGGAGAGGAAAGUGGAAUUCCUAGUGUAGCGGUGAAAUGCGUAGAGAUUAGGAAGAACACCAGUGGCGAAGGCGACUUUCUGAACCGUAACUGACGCUGAGGCAUGAAAGCGUGGGGAGCAAACA